CAUCCACCAACAUAUCUGUCCGUUACUCGAGGACACCAAAACGUAAUUACGUCAGUUGAUCGCCGGUCUUCCUCAUCGUCACAUCGUGGAUACUCCACGUUGUUAGUGUUAUUCUCAUUCACUUGAAUAUAAGAAAAACGAUGGUUAAAGAGGGUGAAGAAGCUUGACUCGAUUUCAAAGAACUACUUCUGCAACAGUUUCAGAGGUAAUAGGAAAGAGUAAAAGAGCUCGACCAAGUCAAUUGAUGAACGUUUGACAUUGGAUGGGGUUUUUCUGCCAUGUUUAAGUUCAGGGGUACUCAACUAAACGUUAUUGGGAAUAAUCCGAUAU